UCAAGUGAAGAAGCGCAUACGGUGGAUGCCUUGGCAGUCAGAGGCGAUGAAAGACGUGGUAGCCUGCGAAAAGCUUCGGGGAGUCGGCAAACAGACUUUGAUCCGGAGAUCUCUGAAUGGGGGAACCCACCUAGGAUAACCUAGGUAUCUUGUACUGAAUCCAUAGGUGCAAGAGGCGAACCAGGGGAACUGAAACAUCUAAGUACCCUGAGGAAAAGAAAUCAACCGAGAUUCCCUUAGUAGUGGCGAGCGAACGGGGAUUAGCCCUUAAGCUUCAUUGAUUUUAGCGGAACGCUCUGGAAAGUGCGGCCAUAGUGGGUGAUAGCCCCGUACGCGAAAGGAUCUUUGAAGUGAAAUCGAGUAGGACGGAGCACGAGAAACUUUGUCUGAACAUGGGGGGACCAUCCUCCAAGGCUAAAUACUACUGACUGACCGAUAGUGAACCAGUACCGUGAGGGAAAGGCGAAAAGAACCCCGGAGAGGGGAGUGAAAUAGAACCUGAAACCGUAUGCGUACAAGCAGUGGGAGCCUACUUGUUAGGUGACUGCGUACCUUUUGUAUAAUGGGUCAGCGACUUAUAUUCAGUGGCAAGCUUAACCGUAUAGGGUAGGCGUAGCGAAAGCGAGUCUUAAUAGGGCGUUUAGUCGCUGGGUAUAGACCCGAAACCGGGCGAUCUAUCCAUGAGCAGGUUGAAGGUUAGGUAACACUGACUGGAGGACCGAACCCACUCCCGUUGAAAAGGUAGGGGAUGACUUGUGGAUCGGAGUGAAAGGCUAAUCAAGCUCGGAGAUAGCUGGUUCUCCUCGAAAGCUAUUUAGGUAGCGCCUCAUGUAUCACUCUGGGGGGUAGAGCACUGUUUCGGCUAGGGGGUCAUCCCGACUUACCAAACCGAUGCAAACUCCGAAUACCCAGAAGUGCCGAGCAUGGGAGACACACGGCGGGUGCUAACGUCCGUCGUGAAAAGGGAAACAACCCAGACCGCCAGCUAAGGUCCCAAAGUUGUGGUUAAGUGGUAAACGAUGUGGGAAGGCUUAGACAGCUAGGAGGUUGGCUUAGAAGCAGCCACCCUUUAAAGAAAGCGUAAUAGCUCACUAGUCGAGUCGGCCUGCGCGGAAGAUGUAACGGGGCUCAAACCACACACCGAAGCUGCGGGUGUCACGUAAGUGACGCGGUAGAGGAGCGUUCUGUAAGCCUGUGAAGGUGAGUUGAGAAGCUUGCUGGAGGUAUCAGAAGUGCGAAUGCUGACAUGAGUAACGACAAUGGGUGUGAAAAACACCCACGCCGAAAGACCAAGGGUUCCUGCGCAACGUUAAUCGACGCAGGGUUAGUCGGUUCCUAAGGCGAGGCUGAAAAGCGUAGUCGAUGGGAAACAGGUUAAUAUUCCUGUACUUCUGGUUACUGCGAUGGAGGGACGGAGAAGGCUAGGCCAGCUUGGCGUUGGUUGUCCAAGUUUAAGGUGGUAGGCUGAAAUCUUAGGUAAAUCCGGGGUUUCAAGGCCGAGAGCUGAUGACGAGUCGUCUUUUAGAUGACGAAGUGGUUGAUGCCAUGCUUCCAAGAAAAGCUUCUAAGCUUCAGGUAACCAGGAACCGUACCCCAAACCGACACAGGUGGUCGGGUAGAGAAUACCAAGGCGCUUGAGAGAACUCGGGUGAAGGAACUAGGCAAAAUGGCACCGUAACUUCGGGAGAAGGUGCGCCGGCUAGGGUGAAGGAUUUACUCCGUAAGCUCUGGCUGGUCGAAGAUACCAGGCCGCUGCGACUGUUUAUUAAAAACACAGCACUCUGCAAACACGAAAGUGGACGUAUAGGGUGUGACGCCUGCCCGGUGCCGGAAGGUUAAUUGAUGGGGUUAGCGCAAGCGAAGCUCUUGAUCGAAGCCCCGGUAAACGGCGGCCGUAACUAUAACGGUCCUAAGGUAGCGAAAUUCCUUGUCGGGUAAGUUCCGACCUGCACGAAUGGCGUAACGAUGGCGGCGCUG
rnacentral:rRNA from 1 species